CAUCCAGGUUUCGAGAACUUUUCUAAUUCCUCAUCUGAUCUGAUCUUCACUGAAGUUUCUCAUCAAGCACACCUGUCUAUCAUUUGUGGGAUCAGCACAAGAGUAUUCAUAGAGGUCGAUUAUACACUAAGCUAAACACUAUGAAAUAAAGUAUGUUCUCUUCUACAUCAAUAAAUAUGUAACCAUAAAGACCUGGAAGUCCAGGUUCAAAUUUAAAUUCUCAGACUCUUCGGACUUCUGUGCUAGAACACAGCAGUGUGGGCAGAGCCACUCCCUAGUCCUUGGACUGUCACCUUCUCUUCCCACGCCCAGAUCUGUCCUAAACCACAAAGACUUUGCUUAUAGAUGUGUGAGCACCCCAGCCUGCAUAUCCAAAAGCUACACAGCCUCUACUCACAAAAAUAGCCAUCCGCUGGUCAUCACUCAUGCCUAGGAGUGCAUACGUUAGUCCAGAGGUUAACCUUUUAAGACAACAGAUAUCAGGCAAAACCAGUGCAAUUCCCUGAAGAAGCCUUGAAGCCAUCUGAGCACAAUAUCUGGGCAUCCUUUGUAACCGGAACAUGUUCUAGAAGGGGUAGUGCAAGAUCCAGGUGGGCAUAUCAUGUAGGUCGACCAACUCUUCAUCCUGUGGACUCUCAAAAACCUAAGACCUCUCUUGCCUGGGACUAUAGACAGUACUGCCAUCAAAUGCUGAGCUCUCUUGGGAAAGUUCUCAGACCCUCGUCACAAAGAGAAACUGUGAUGAUUUGUAAUAUCGUUUGCAUGUAUGUCACCUCUCACUGGACAUAGAGUUGCACCUCAGCUCCUUCGUUCCUCACUACCACAUUCCUGCCAAGACAGAAGAAUCCAAGUCUCUCAAGUACACUCAGCCUCUUUCCCCUAUGGCCACCUGCCAUCCAACACCUUUCCCCACUGGCUCUGGGUUCUGCUGGGAUCUUGGUUACAGGUGCAAAGCCAUAGUGAGGACGAAGAGAGCUGCCGGCCCAACAGUCCCAGACACCCCCACCUGUACCAGAUGUGCCGGCAAAGACUCAGGCAGCUUUUUCCACCACCACAACCAUACAUGGUCUGAUAGCAGUGACCUCAUAGAAGAGCCUAAUUCCCACCUCUUCUCACAAGAGGUUGUACUACCCCAAUGUCCAGCUCCUGCUCCCUGACCCUACAAACCCCUGAACUCGGUAGGAGAAAAGCAUCGUGGUCCACUGGAAAGAUCAGACCUCGAGACUUGGAAUCUAUGCCCUGAUGUUGUCAUAAACUGCACGCACAGAGAAGGACCUGAGGCACAUCACUUCAUUUCUCUGUGCAUUGGUUUCUCUACCAUGUGGGCAUGAGAAAACACAAGACAGGCAGUGGUAAACUGGACAAAAAUGUAAUUUUCCCCCAUGCUUUGACACUGCCUAAGGCAGUUACAGGAUUUAACAGUGGUCGAGUUUAGGACACAAGGAUUGCUACAGGAAUGCUCUCAAAGGACUCAAAGUGAUGAAAAAGGAGAAAUCCCACCUUUCAGCUCUGAAGCCUUGGUGCACCCAGCAGUAAGGUUCCCUCUGAGCCUCUACACAUCCCCAUGUGUUCCCAAUUAAGUUCCAGAAAAUCUUCCACAACACCAGAGUCCUGUUUUUUUUUUUUCCUUUGAAGUCUCACCUGAAGAACAUCCUCUUAUCCCAAAUUCCUCCCUCUAUCUCUAGUUUCAUAUCUUCAUAAGAAAAAAAAAACAUGGGUGGGAUUCAGGGUUCCUCCUCUUGGUCAUUGCAAAACAAUCACAGUAUUUUCUGCUGGCGGAAAACAAAAGACCA
ensembl:lncRNA